CAAUAGUUGGCAAAACUGUAACAAAAUUUGCUACAAUAUCAGGACGUAGUUUAUCUUCGGUUAGGGCAUAAAAAUUCCGAAUUUUCACGUAAUAAGGAAACUGGCAUCGAUUGUUCCUUGUGGUGAUCGGUCAAACGAAAUAUAGUAAAAUAAAAGAUUAUUAAUACUUAUGUAGAAAUAAAAAGAGAAAGUAUGGUUUCGGUGAUGCAGCCAUUCAUGGAUGUUGAAAGUUCAAGGAGUUACAUCGAUGAGCUGUAUUCGCCGGAUCCUCUUAAAUGUUUACAAGCAAUUAUAUGCCUUAAAAAUUCUGUAAUUGGAAGCAAUAGACAAAAAGGUUCAGUAAUAGCGCAAGGUGUAGUGCCUCGAUUAUUACAAUUACUUGGUAAUUCAUCUGGUCCACUUGCAGAGCGUAUACAAUUAGAAUCGGCUGUAACAUUAGGUUCUUUGGCUAAGGGUACCGAUCAACAUGUCUUAGCUCUUAUUGAACUUGGUGUGGUACCAUUACUUCUUCAAGUUUUGCUUUCUAUGCCUAUUUCCGAUCCUAAUGCAGAAGGAAAAGGAAAACUUUUAGAUUCCUUAAAUGAAGCAUGUUUACGUUGUUUACGUACAGUGUUCCAACACACUUCAGCACCUGUUCAUUCUAUAUACCAGGAUCCUGCUUUGGUGCCACGUUUGUUAUCGUUAGCAAGUAGAUCUGUUACUUGUCAAGUCUGCGUAGCAACUAUUUUGACAACAGCAUGUAAGACUGCAGAGGAACAAAAUGCCCUUUCCAAAGGAGGAGCAGUUGAAACAUUAGCGAUGCAACUUGAUUCGCCAUUAGCAGAUGUACAAUUACCUGCAUUGGCUUGUCUUGCAAAUAUGUGCUAUCAAAAUCAUAUGGUAUCUGCUAUGGUUGCUGCAGCGACAACAAGUAAUACUCUUAGGGGUAAACUUGUGCCUGUAGCAUUAGGACAAUUGAUGGGACGUGAAAGAAGUUCAUUAGUUCAACUGGAAGCUGCAAGAUGUAUAGCAUACAUGCAUAGGGCUGGUGCAUUGUCGUCUACGGACCCGAGAGUCUUAUAUCGUGCUUUACCUUGUCUUGUGAGACUUUGUCAUAGAGAUCGACCACCAAGAGAGAGAAUAGCUGCAGCAGAAACUUUAGCUUAUCUUACAGAAGUUGAUACAGAUUUGCAACGUCUAGCUUCUAUUAGUAAUCAUCUCAUUCCAACAUUAGCCGAGUUACUGAGACCACAUUCGCAGGUAAAGGUUCAAGAUGCGACAUUAACGCAAGAUAUGCGCCAAGCAGCAUUUAGAGCUUUUGCUUCUCUUGGUGCUAAUGACGAAGGAAUUCGAAAACGCAUCAUUGAAACAGAAAGUUUAAUGGAGCAAGUUGUUUCUGGUUUGCAAGAUCCUGGAGGUCCUCGAGUUCGAUUAGCUGCAGUUAGAUGUUUACAUUCUCUUUCUAGAAGCGUGCAACAGCUUCGCACAACGUUUCAAGAUCAUGCUGUGUGGAGGCCCCUCAUGCAAUUGCUUCAUGGUGCAGAUAAAGGGUUGGAAGGUAGAACAGAGAGCGAAGAUGAUUUAUUGACUGUUGCUUCAAGUACUUUAUGUAAUUUAUUAUUAGAAUUCAGUCCAAGUAAAGAACCAAUUCUUGAAUCUGGUGGAGUAGAACUAUUAUGUUCUCUUACCAAACGACCCGAUCCAGCAUUACGACUAAACGGAAUUUGGGCUUUAAUGAAUGUUGCUUUUCAAGCGGAACAACGAGUGAAGUCACAAAUAUUAUCUUGCUUAGGCACUGACCAAAUCUUUCGUCUUUUGGCUGACCCAGAAUUAGCAGUUUUAAUGAAGACACUUGGUUUGCUACGAAAUUUGCUUUCUACAAAAGCACAUAUAGAUCGUAUAAUGGGUGAACAUGCUGCUCAUUUUAUGCAAGCAGUUAUAUUAGUAUUAGAAGAUCCAGAACAUCCAGCAGAUGUGAAGGAACAAGCUCUCUGUAUUUUGGCAAAUGUAGCUGACGGUGAUCGCGCCAGAGAUCACAUUAUGGCUAACGAAGAUGUUUUGAAAAAGUUAAUGGAUUAUAUGAUGCACAGCAAUGUAAAGCUACAAGUCGCAGCAAUCUUUUGCGUGUGCAAUUUAGUAUGGAGAGAAGAACCCGGAGCAGCACAACGCCAAGCACGUUUAAAAGAGUUAGGCCUUUAUCGUAUUCUCCAACAAUUACGUCAUACAAAAGAUUCUCAAUUAUUUGAUAAAGUAAAAACUGCCAUGGCACAAUUCUACGAUGCAUGAAUAUUAAUCAUGUUAAUAACGAAGGUUAGAUUUUCAAUUUGUGAAUUUUUUAUUUGAAUGAUAUUAUUUGAUGUAGAAUUAAUACUGUGAUCCUGUGCUUUUGUUAAUACAUAAGCAUUUUAAAGCUACUGAAAUAAGAAAAUGAACAUAUAUCCCACGAACAUAAAAAGUGAGAGAGGAAGGGAUAUGGAAUGCUGCUUGGUACCUUCUGAGUACUUCACAAACAAAGGUCUGUAAUCCAAGUUCUCGAUUACAGUAAGGAAAAUCAAACAUUUAGAAAGAUUACGAAUACAAGAAAAUAUGAGAGUGCUUAUAUACAUUCGAUGUUUCAAUGCAUCUUCUGGCAAAUUGUACUAUAACCUUUACAUAGUAAUCUCAUAAUACAUUUUAUUAUCGUGAGAACAAAAUUUCUUUCAUAUAUUUUAAAUAAAUAUUUGACAGGUAGACCUUAAUAACUAUUUGGAGCUUGUAUCUUUGGUAGAGAACUUGUAUGAAAAAUUUAUGAAAUGGAAAUAUAUCUCUUUAUCAUGGUUAUGUUUAAACCAUA
rnacentral:misc_RNA from 1 species